UUUUCCCUCUUUUUUGAAAAAUGGAAGAAAAAUUUGAGAACCCCUCCCAAAGUUUCCUUUCCCUCCCCCUAUGCCUCGUGGCUCUCACGUUUUCCCUUUCACUACCCUCCUCCUUAAUUUUCCUUUCCCUUCUCUCUAUCUCUCUCACGGUCAGACAGAACCACCCUCCACAGUUUUUCAUUUUUGGGUAAGAACGAACUCUUCCCCAUAGUUCUCAAUUGGCGGGUGAAUUUCAAACCCUAAUUUCCCAAUCGAAGAACCACUCGCGCAAUUCCUCCCCUCACUGCUUAUGAUUUCAAGAAAUUUGACUUUUGUUUGAGGAACUGAAAUUUGGAUUGAGUAUCAUUGUAUUGCUUUAUCAAGUUGGUAGCCCAAUAUUAUGUUGCUCACAAAGUGUUCUAUAAGCACUAUGGGCAUGGGGUUGAGAAGGAGUUUUUUUGGCGUGGAUGGUCUUCGAUUUGCAAGGUGUUCCAGCGCAUAGAGCUCCGGUUCGAAGGUGGGAGAAUAGUCUCUAGGUUCCAAAAAUUGACAUGAGACAAACUUGAGAAAACAUCGUUAAACACUCCUUAUUUAUCUUCAACAUAUUUUUAGUUAUUUUAACCAUUUUGUAAUUCAUUUAUUUUGCAUUCUAUUCUUGUGUCCAACUUAGCAUAUACUCUACUUGUUCAAUGUAGAAUAUAUAUGUAUACUUCAUGGUUGAUGCAUAGGGAUUUGUUGUUGAAACCAUAUGGAGUUGAUUUGGAUGAAAAAUAUAUUUUAUCUUGGUUUUGAAGUUAAA